AUGAUAACUCUGACAGUAAUAAACUGCUGCAUCUUCAGCCUGAAUUCCACUGAUGAUGUGUUGUUUUCACGUUUUCUGUCAUCAGUUGAGUUUGUUUGUUUCAGAGUCAGAGAGCGUGUCUCUGUACAGUCAGAGGUUUUUGUACGACGCUUCCAUCAGUUUGGAUCACUGUGGUGGACUUUUGGUGGAGGAACCAGACUGGAGUUUGGAAGUGAUGCCCCGCCCUCCCUGACAGUGCUGGCCCCCUCCAUGGAGAAGCUGCAGCAGGGGAAGGCCACACUCAUGUGUGUGGCCAACAAGGGCUUCCCCUCAGACUGGACUCUGUCCUGGAAGGUGGUCGGCAGCAGCAGCAGGGAGGAGAGCAGGAGCCCCGGGGUGCUGCAGAAGGACGGCCUCUACAGCUGGAGCAGCACCCUGAGGCUCUCUGCAGACCAGUGGGAGAAGGUGACCUGUGAGGCCAAGAGAGGAUCCCAGACUCCAGUCUCAGAGACUCUCAGGAGAGACCAGUGCUCCCAGUCCUGAACUCAGACACUGACAGAAAUCUGCUUUCUGUGCACUUCUUCUUUAUUCUCUUUCUUUAACUCUUCUUGACUUGUUACAGUUUAACUUUAAAGAAAAAUCUGCUAAUAAAAAUGACAUUUACCAACUGA